AUAAUGUGGAGGCUAACGUUCGGUCGGUCCUUUCACUGAUUGUACCAGCAGUGCAAGUUGAGGGGACGCAAAGUCAUCUUUAGUUUAUAAUGCAGCACAAUCUCGGCGCUUCAAACGUGUCCAUCGACACGACAAGCCAUCAUGGAACAUUUGGUGGACAUCUGUAUGAGCCAGACGGAGGAUGAUGUCUAUGUUUGAGCUUCAGCAUUAUGUCCUAAAGAUGUCUGUCAUGGCAGUAUUUACUGGAGGAAGCGGGUCUGAGAUGGAUGAUCCAACUAAAGGACUGCGACCAAGUCUUGUGUAAUGAAAUCUUGUGGAGAUAAAAACCAGAGAGAAGAUAGUGAAGCAGCUGGGUGACAGUGCGGAGGAGACUUGCAGAGGAGAGAACUGAUACAUUCAGGUAACAAGGAAGAUACUGCCAAAGUCUCAGAGCUUGGACAAGUGGAACAUUUGUUUCUUCUUCUCCUCUUCCAAACAAACCUGCUAUUGAAUGUUUUCAAAUUGUCGUUUCGUUUGCCAUGUCAGGUUCCUGGCAGUUUUUAAUGUGCCAGCAGCAUUUAUUUUGCUCAUAAUGAAUCUAAGCAGCAUGAGUCUGCAGUACAUGCAAUAUGUCAAACUGAUAUCACUUUUGGCUUCUAAUAAAAAAAGCUGCUCAACUCAA